rnacentral:rRNA from 1 species
CUCUUCUUUAAGUUGUAACCACCGAAUCCAAGAGACCGGGAGACAUCUUGUAAACCACGGCAGAGGUUGUUUCUGCCCACAAACAAUAUAUACGACGCGGCUCCUCCAAGGAGGAGUAGGAACGCUUCCACCAAGUCUUUCAUGGUAUACAGAGCCAACCUCUUCCAAUCGAUCUAGCGUCCGCAAAGAAAACCAAUCUACCUCGCCAUGUCUUCCUCUUCUCCUGUCGCCCUUAACCUUGGAGCGCCACCCACCGAGAAGCUAGCAAGGGGAAACUUUCUCCUCUGGAAGGCCCAGGUCAUGCCGGCCCUGCGAGGAGCGCAGGUCACCGGACUCCUGGAUGGCAACGACGCAGCGCCCGCUAAGAUGGUGGAGCAGGAACAGUCGGACAAGAGCACAUCUAUGGUGCCCAACCCGGUCUACGGACCAUGGCUGUCAAAGGACCAGCAAGUCCUCAGCUACCUUCCCAAUUCCCUCUCCAAGGAGAUACUAGUGCAAGUCAUCGGUAAGGCACGUACCUUCGAUUUGUGUACUGCACUUACGACUCUCUUCGCCUCACAGUCUCAGUCUCGGAUCACGAAUCUGAGGAUUGCCAUCUCCAACACAAAGAAGGGAACCAUGCCAAGCACCCUGUUCAUGGCAAAGAUGAAAAGUUUAGGAGAUGAACUAGCUGCUGUUGGUCGGCCCGUCUCUGAUCCGGAGAUGGUCGACCACAUCCUAGCUGGUCUCGGCCGUGACUACGAUCCAGUGGUUGCAGCGGUCGGCGCCAUCAAAAACACAAUCUCCAUCGAUGAUUUGUUUGCGCAGAUUGCUGCCUUUGAUCAAAGAAUGGAGAUGCUAGGAGAUGCUCCUGUUGGCGGCUAACAUGGAUCUGCCAACGCCGUCUACAGAGGGCGCAAUCAGAAUCGGGGCAAGGUCCCCCGUGGUCGUGACACUAGAGGGCGUGGGCGUGGGGAUCGCCUAUCCUCUUCUCCAGCCCGUGGUGGUGGUGGCGGCUGCUACCACCAGCGCUCACAUCCAUGACAGCAACAACAGCAGGAGGAUCAUGACUUUCUAGAAUGUCAGAUCUGCUACAAGCACCAUGCCGAUGGCGCUAGGGCAUGCUAGCAUCGUUACGAUGAGGACCACCAAGAAGAAAAAAUGGCAAACGCUGUCACCACCAACUCGUAUGGUAUUGAUACUAACUGGUAUGCAGAUUCUGGUGCAACCGAACACAUCACGGGGGAGCUUGACAAAUUAACAAUGAGAGAGAAGUAUCAUGGUGGCGACCAAGUGCACACAGCAAGCAGUUCUGGAUUUGGCAAUGAGGAGAGUCAUCCUUAGAGGAAAGUGUGAGGGGGGGCUCUAUCCACUCAUAUCAUCGUCAUCAUCAUGGUCAAAUAAACAAGCUUGGAGUGUCACCAAGCCAACUUCAGCAAAGUGGCAUAGUCGCUUGGGUCAUCCAUCCUCGGUCAUCGUUCAGCAUGUCCUUAGCAAAAAUAAACUUCCUUAUGAGUCUAGUGUUGAGUCAGUUUGUGAUUCGUGUCAGCAAGCUAAAAGUCAUCAAUUGCCAUAUCCUAUUUCUACCAGUGUAUCCACAGCUCCAUUACAACUUAUUUUUUUAGAUGUGUGGGGGGCAGCCCCCACAUCAGUUGCUAGAUUAUCAUAUUAUGUAAGUUCCAUUGAUGACUAUAGCAAAUUUACUUGGAUUUAUUUGUUAAAGAAAUGAUCUGAUGUUUUUCAAGUCUUUAGCAAUUUUCAGAAUCUUGUUGAACGCC